UACAGAGGUCUCAAGCGUUGUUCGGAUUCAUUGGGCGUAAAGGGUGUGUAGGUGGCGCCGUAAGUCGGGUGUGAAAUUUCGGAGCUUAACUCCGAAACUGCAUUCGAUACUGCCGUGCUUGAGGACUGGAGAGGAGACUGGAAUUUACGGUGUAGCGGUGAAAUGCGUAGAUAUCGUAAGGAAGACCAGUGGCGAAGGCGGGUCUCUGGACAGUUCCUGACGCUGAGGCACGAAGGCCAGGGGAGCAAACGGGAUUAGAACCUACCCUAGUCAGUCCAA
rnacentral:rRNA from 1 species